rnacentral:rRNA from 1 species
GUGUCAGCCGCCGCGGUAAUACAGAGACUGCAAGCGUUAUUCGGAUUCACUGGGCGUAAAGGGUGCGCAGGCGGCUAAGUGUGUCAGAUGUGAAAUCCCGAGGCUCAACCUCGGAACUGCGUCUGAAACUACUUGGCUAGAGUAUUGGAGAGGGUAACGGAAUUCACGGUGUAGCAGUGAAAUGCGUAGAUAUCGUGAGGAACACCAGAGGCGAAGGCGGUUACCUGGACAAUUACUGACGCUCAGGCACGAAAGCGUGGGGAGCAAAAGGGAUUAGAAACCCCAGUAGUCC